rnacentral:rRNA from 1 species
UACAGAGGGUGAGAGCGGUAAUCGGAAUUACUGGGCGGAAAGCGCACGUAGGUGGCGACGUAAGUCGGGUGUGAAAGCCCCGGGCUCAACCUGGGAAUUGCAUUCGAGACUGCAUUGCUGGAGUACGGAAGAGGAGGGCGGAAUUCCCGGUGUAGCGGUGAAAUGCGUAGAUAUCGGGAGGAACAUCAGUGGCGAAGGCGGCGCUCUGGUCCAGUACUGACACUCAAGUGCGAAAGCGUGGGGAGCAAACAGG